UGGGGAAUAUUGCACAAUGGGCGCAAGCCUGAUGCAGCAACGCCGCGUGAGGGACGACGGCCUUCGGGUUGUAAACCUCUUUUAGUAGGGAAGAAGCGAAAGUGACGGUACCUGCAGAAAAAGCACCGGCUAACUACGUGCCAGCAGCCGCGGUAAUACGUAGGGUGCGAGCGUUGUCCGGAAUUAUUGGGCGUAAAGAGCUCGUAGGCGGUCUGUCGCGUCUGCUGUGAAAACCCGAGGCUCAACCUCGGGCCUGCAGUGGGUACGGGCAGACUAGAGUGCGGUAGGGGAGAAUGGAAUUCCUGGUGUAGCGGUGGAAUGCGCAGAUAUCAGGAGGAACACCGAUGGCGAAGGCAGUUCUCUGGGCCGUAACUGACGCUGAGGAGCGGAAAGCGUGGGGAGCGAACAGGAUUAGAUACCCUGGUAGUCCACGCCGUAAACGUUGGGCGCUAGAUGUGGGGACCAUUCCACGGUUUCCGUGUCGCAGCUAACGCAUUAAGCGCCCCGCCUGGGGAGUACGGCCGC
rnacentral:rRNA from 1 species